rnacentral:misc_RNA from 1 species
GAAAGUUAGGAAGCUCACCCCUCCAUGCAGUAAUGCCUCUAUUUGAAAUAGAAAUUAAGAAUGUGCGGAAUACCAAUAAAAAUCUAACAAUAUUAGUUAUGAAAAGAAGGGGGAAAGAAUGUCGCUCAAUAAAACAGCCUGAUCUCGAGUCUGCCCCGUCUUCCAGACCUUGAAAUCUGAAGGAAAAUAGUUAGCAUCCUUCCAGUUUUUCAAUGACGCAAGACAAAAGGGCCCUUGAACGUCCCCCUGAGGAUCUAAAUAAUACCAAAUCAAGCUUCUUAGUAUGUUAUUCCAAUCAUGCUCUUCAGCCCUUGGUGUUUCAUCAUCGUCG